GCCAAGGCCCCCCAUGCUGACCCAGCCUUUUCUCUUUCCCCCCCAGUCUCUGCCCAGGCUCCCUCUGUCUUCCCCUUGACUUCAUGCUGCAGAGGGUCAGCUGCCAUGGCAGCCAACGUGACGUUGGGCUGCCUUGUCAAGGGCUUCUUCCCAGGACCAGUGGAAGUGGCCUGGGACACAGGUACCCUGAACCACACUGAAGUGACCUUGCCAGCUGCUACCCUGGACUCAGGCCUGUCUAUCACCAUCAGCCAGGUGACUGCCAUGGGCGCCUGGGCUAAGCAGAUGUUCACCUGCCACGUGGUGCAUGCUCCAACCACAACCCACACCAAUAAGACUUUCCGAGCAUGCAGGGCUACCUUCACACCACCCACAGUGAGGCUCCUCCACUCCUCCUGUGACCCCCGGGAGAAAGCGACUUACGCCAUCCAGCUCCUGUGCCUCAUCUCUGGCUACACCCCGGGACACAUUGAGGUCACCUGGCUGGUAGACGGACAGAAAGCCUCCAACUUGUUCUCAUCCACGGCACCACCCAAGCAGGAAGGCAAGUUAGCAUCCACCUACAGCGAGCUCAAUGUCACCCAAGGCGAAUGGGCAUCGCAGCACACCUACACCUGCAGGGUCGCCUACCAGGGCGAGCUCUUCGAGGCCCAUGCCCGGGAGUGCACAGCUUAUGAACCCCGCGGCGUGAGCACCUACCUGAGCUCCCCUAGUCCCCUCGACCUGUACGUCCGCAAGUCACCCAAGCUCACCUGUCUGGUGGUGGACCUGGCCAGCGAGGAGGGCGUGAGCCUGGUCUGGUCCCGGGAAAGCGGGGGGCCUGUGAACCCCGACCCCUGGAAGGCCAAGAAGCAGUUCAAUGCCACGGUCAGCAUCACGUCCACCCUGCCAGUGGACACUCGGGACUGGAUAGACGGCGAGACCUACACGUGCACCGUGACACAUCCCCACCUGCCGACGGCCAUCGUGCGGUCCAUCUUCAAGGGCUUGGGUGGGCGUGCUCCCCCCGAGGUACACCUGUUCAUGCCACCCGAAAUGCAGCAAGAGAACAAGGACCUGCUCACUCUCACCUGUCUGAUCCAAAACUUCUUCCCGGAAGACAUCUCAGUGCAGUGGCUUCUCAACGGGCAGCCGGUGCCCAGUAGCCAGUUCAGAACCACUGAGCCCCUCCUGACCAGCAGCUUCAACAAAACCUACUUCAUCUUCAGCCGCCUGGAGGUCAGCCGGACCGACUGGCAGCAGGGGAACGGGUUCACGUGCCAGGUGGUGCAUGAGGCACUGCCCGGCACCAGGAUCCUGGAGCAAACCGUGUCCAGGCAGCCCGAGCUGGACCUCCAGGACCUGUGUACAGAGGGGCCCGAGAGCGAGGAGCUGGACGGGCUAUGGACCAGCACCUGUGUCUUUGCCACCCUUUUUCUGCUAAGCACCAGCUGCAUUGCCAGCGUCCUGCUCAUCAAGGUGAAAUGGGUCUUGGCUGCAGUGAUGCCGGAAUUGCCUCCCGCCUCCCAUGACUACUCCAACAUCCUCCACCUGGGGGCCUAAGUCAGGCCUGCAGCAGCCUACAGGGAAGGCUCGAGCCCUGCUCCCAUGUCUCCAGCUCCCUAAAGCCCCUGCCCUGCCUGUGGCAGUAGGGGAACACAGAGACCUCCAUCACCUGAUGGCAAGUACACCAGGGCCAUCCACCAGCUCCAUCUCAGCCCCUGGACCAAGGCACAGGAGUGCAUGAGGCCAAGCCCUGUCCGGCCCUGCCAUGCCCAGCCUAGACAAGCUCAGCCCAGCCCAGCCCAGUCCUGCCCAGCCCAGCCCAGUCCAGCCCAGUCCUGCCUAGCUCAGCACUCCUAGGUCAGCCCUGCCAUGCCCAACCCAGCCCUGCCCAAUCCAGCCCUGCCCAGCCCUGCCCAACCCUGCCCUGCCCAAUCCCUCCCAGUCCAGCUAUGCCCAGCCCUGCCAUGCCCUGCCUAGCCCAGUCCUGCCCAGUCCAGCACUGCCCUACUUAGCUCAGCACUGCCUAGGUUAGCCCUGCCACGCCCAGCCCAGACCUGCCCA